rnacentral:misc_RNA from 1 species
GAUGAAGAACGUAGCGAAACGCGAUAAGUAAUGUGAAUUGCAGAAUUCAGUGAAUCAUCGAAUCUUUGAACGCACAUUGCGCCCGCCAGUAUUCUGGCGGGCAUGCCUGUUCGAGCGUCAUUACAACCCUCAGGCCCCCGGGCCUGGCGUUGGGGAUCGGCGGAAGCCCCCUGCGGGCACAACGCCGUCCCCCAAAUACAGUGGCGGUCCCGCCGCAGCUUCCAUUGCGUAGUAGCUAACACCUCGCAACUGGAGAGCGGCGCGGCCACGCCGUAAAACACCCAACUUCUGAAUGUUGACCUCGAAUCAGGUAGGAAUACCCGCUGAACUUAAGCAUAUCAAUAAGCGGAGGA